rnacentral:misc_RNA from 1 species
GAUGAAGAACGUAGCGAAAUGCGAUAAGUAAUGUGAAUUGCAGAAUUCAGUGAAUCAUCGAAUCUUUGAACGCACAUUGCGCCCGCCAGUAUUCUGGCGGGCAUGCCUGUCCGAGCGUCAUUUCAACCCUCGAACCCCUCCGGGGGGUCGGCGUUGGGGAUCGGCCCUUUACGGGGCCGGCCCCGAAAUACAGUGGCGGUCUCGCCGCAGCCUCUCCUGCGCAGUAGUUUGCACACUCGCAUCGGGAGCGCGGCGCGUCCACAGCCGUUAAACACCCCAAACUUCUGAAAUGUUGACCUCGGAUCAGGUAGGAAUACCCGCUGAACUUAAGCAUAUCAAUAAGCGGAUGA